rnacentral:rRNA from 1 species
GCAUAUCAAUAAGCGGAGGAAAAGAAACCAACAGGGAUUGCCUCAGUAACGGCGAGUGAAGCGGCAAAAGCUCAAAUUUGAAAUCCCCCGGGAAUUGUAAUUUGAAGAGAUUUGGGUCCGGCCGGCAGGGGUUAAGUCCACUGGAAAGUGGCGCCACAGAGGGUGACAGCCCCGUGAACCCCUUCAACGCCCUCAUCCCAGAUCUCCAAGAGUCGAGUUGUUUGGGAAUGCAGCUCUAAGUGGGUGGUAAAUUCCAUCUAAAGCUAAAUACCGGCGAGAGACCGAUAGCGAACAAGUACAGUGAUGGAAAGAUGAAAAGCACUUUGAAAAGAGAGUGAAAAAGUACGUGAAAUUGUUGAAAGGGAAGGGCUUGCAAGCAGACACUUAACUGGGCCAGCAUCGGGGCGGCGGGAAACAAAACCACCGGGGAAUGUACCUUUCGAGGAUUAUAACCCCGGUCUCAAUUCCAUUGUUGCCCCGAGGCCUGCAAUCUAAGGA